GGGCCUGUAGUCUAGCCUGGAUAGGAUGGCGGGCUUCGGACCCGCAGACCCCGGUUCGAAUCCGGGCAGGCUCG
rnacentral:tRNA from 1 species